UCCGGUAUGGUGUAACGGUCAACAUUGCCGCUUUUCAUCGUUUGCGUUGACAAUAUACUCAUCGCGGCAGCUCGGGGUUCGAUUCCCCGUACCGGAA